rnacentral:rRNA from 1 species
CCCUUAAAUAGGGACUAGUAUGAAUGGCUUCAGAGGGCUUAACUGUCUCCCCUCUUCAAUCAAUGAAACUGAUCUUCUCGUGAAGAAGCGAGAAUGUUAAUAUAAGACGAGAAGACCCUAUGGAGCUUUAAACCCAUUACCACCUGCCCGUAUUACACCAAAAUAAUUGGCAGCCUGUUCUUAUAAUGGUUUUUGGCUGGGGUGGCCCUGGAGUAAAAUAAACCCUCCAGACUGAAUGAUUUAAGACCCUAAUCUAAGAAUUACAAUUCAAAGAAUCAAUACUUUGACAUAAUUGACCCAAUAAAUUGAUCAACGAACCAAGUUACCCUAGGGAUAACAGCGCAAUCCAUUUCAAGAGCCCCUAUCGACAAAUGGGUUUACUACCUCGAUGUUGGAUCGGGGUAUCCUAGCGGCGCACCCGCUGCUAAAGGUUCGUUUGUU